CGCCCUCCCUGCAAAGCUGCUCUGCCGCCCGCCCUGCAAGACAGGAGAGCAACAGGGCUGGCUGGCUGGCCUGGCGAGCAGACCCGCUGUGUCCAGCGGCACUUGGUCCAGGCACCACUUGCCCAGAAGCAGGGAGGAAGGGACCUGGGUGUCCACCCUGGUGUCCCCUGAGCACUGUGUGGCAUUCCAGGAUGCCUGACACUGCCUGGGUCAGAAGCAGUGGUGUCUGUGCUAAAACCAUCAGGCUGAAGGGGAGCUCAUUAGGUAAGGGGGCCAGGGAGGGGACACCACCCCGGGCUGGCAGGCUCGAAGAGGGGCCAGGAUUGGAGUGUCAGGGACCGAGAGCUAGUGCAGCGCAGUCCAACGCAGCCCGGGAGGGGACGGACAGAGAGAGACGAGGCCCCGGGCGUGCACACAGGACGGACACGAGUGAAGCCGUUGGAAAGAUUUUGAAUUACACCGACUAGGUGCCAGGCCCUGUCCCAGGCACUGGAGAGACAGAAGUGAAGAGGCAGAAGGACCCCUGCAGUCACGGAGCGGCCGGUGUCCCACGGGGAGUGAGAGGCGCGGCAAACAAGUGAUGAGAAACUUGUUCAGCUUGGAUAGGUGACGAGCAGAAGCUUCAAACAGAGAGUGUGGCUGAGCGUGGGCUGAGAGCUGAACAGUGGGAAGGAGUCAACCUCGCAAAGAUGAGUCAAGGAACAGCCCUGCUGGAGCCGGCACCGAGAGCAGCGGGCCCAUCCUGGAAGACCACUGGGAAGUGAGGAAUGCCACAUCCGCCUGCCCGGACGGGGCAGCGCACUGCGCUCUCAGUUAUUACGGUGCCUAAUUCACUUUCAUGGAGGCUGAGAAGAGCGGGAGGACCUCUGGGGCUCAAAUUUGGCCCAGAAUGUUCCCCAGAAAUCAC